rfam:Rattus norvegicus chromosome 1, whole genome shotgun sequence.
GGAAAAUGGGAGAGGGGGCCAGCCCCAGGACCUGAAACAAUGUUAUCAGGCA